AUGUUACUUGCAAAUUUUGCAUUGGCAAAAAGUGUUACAAAUCCAUCUGCCGUCAGUGCGUACCGGGAUUGGUCCAGCGCAGCUAAAGAUUGUACCUGUGCUAAACCAAACCUACAGAUUGGAAUUUACCAUGGUAAAUGUGGGUUGAAAAUUGCCAUGACACCUCUGAAAACUGUAAGAUGGUUGACCAGAACAGCUCUUCUUUGCAAAGAUGGCAAACUGUAUGAAUGUGCCAUGGCAAAAAUUGUUCUCCCUAAGCAAACAACAUGGCACAAAUACAGUGGGGGCGCAUAUCAAACAUGUAAACUUGCCAUCAAUGGAAAAUGCCCAUGGCAACUACAAAUUAUCCACACCAAUUCUAAAGCCAAAAGGAAAAUUUACAGGUUGAAAGCUGUACUCAGAUGA
rnacentral:rRNA from 1 species